CCAGAUCCUCUCCUUCAUCCUGCACACAAUCGUGCGAGGAUUCAUCCACUCCGCUGUCGGGGGCCUGUACGCUGCCGUGUACCCCUCCACCCAGUUCGGCAGCCUCACGGGACUGCAGUCUCUGAUCAGCGCGCUCUUCGCCCUUCUGCAGCAGCCGCUGUUUCUGGCCAUGAUGGGUCCUCUCCAGGGAGACCCUCUGUGGGUGAACGUGGGGCUGCUCCUUCUCAGCCUGCUGGGCUUCUGCCUCCCGCUCUACCUGAUCUGCUACCGGCGCCAGCUGGAGCGGCAGCUGCAGCAGAGGCAGGAGGAUGACAAACUCUUCCUCAAAAUCAACGGCUCGUCCAACCAGGAGGCCUUCGUGUAGUGGCUGCCGCCUCGGAACUGCGGUCUCCUGCCUGUGCUUCAGUGACUGACCCCUGUCCUGCCCCUCCAGAGUACCCCACGCACCCCCAGGACCUUCGCCGUCUCCGUGCCAGCGUUCACGCUCCCUCCCGGGGCCCUGCCUCGGAGCUCUGUGGUGGAAGGACGGGAGAGGGCCCCGGACACGCGCGUUUUCUCCUGCCGAACGCAGGGGCUGCCCUGACUUUGCUCUGCCGCCCCCCGGGGACCCGGGGCCUGGGGUCUCUGUGGUGCCUGCAGCAGGAGCCAGGAACGCCCGGCAGGCAGGCGCUCUCCCGCCAGUGUCUGGAUUCUGCCUCUUGCCAAAGCAGAGGGGGCUGCCAUCCCCUGCCUGCCACCUGCCCCUCGGCUGCAUGCCCACAGCCGUACCUGCCUGAGGACAAAGGCUUGCACUGUCUCGCCCGCGCCUGGCCCCCACCCCCUCCCCGGCCAGCCUGAGGCUGCCUGAGGAAGGAAGGACCCGCUUCCUGUUGUCGGUGCUAAUUCCUUUGUAAUUCCAGCCCCCUGUCGCCUGUCCAGGGCCUGCCCACCCGUUGGAGGCCGGUGGAGAAGCCCCACCUGGCUUAUGCCCUGGAGAGGGUUUAGCGGGCUGGGUGGACCCCUCGCCUCCUCCCCGAGGGCCAAUGCCGCGGACACGUUUUCACUGUCACCCUCGUUCUGUCUGCCACCUGAAGGGAAUUUGAGGACCGCCGCCAGGGCACCCCGUACAUACACACAGCUGCUUUUGUGGAGGUGGACGAAAGGCUGUGGCCGGCAGACGUGGAGGUCCAGGCCGGGGUGGGGACGUGGGUGGGUCCGAGGUGUGUGUGGGGUCGGGGUGGGCUCUAGGAGUUAGCCCUUAUCCCCACUGACCAGGCGGGAGCCGCCAGGCCUGCAGCUGGGCCAGUGCCCAGGAGCCAUCCUGGCGUGGGGCCAGGAGCUUGUCCAAGGCCACAGGCCCACAGCACCCCCUGCCGGCGGGCUCCGUGGGGCCCUGGAGCUGAUGACGGGGGAGGCCCGUCCGCCUGGCCCACCAACCCGCCCACCUUGACUGCCCCCAGAAGUGUGUCUUGAGACCUCCUGGGCGUGCUUAGAGGGGUGAGUUGUGUUUGGAUUUUUAGUUAUUUUCUCUUCAGUUUUAUUAGACUUCUUUUUUAUAAAGCAAUAAAUCCAUUUUCCUCCGGGU
rnacentral:lncRNA from 1 species